AUCGAACCUUGGCUUAAGAGUGUGUUUUCUUAGGAAUUUCUUGACCAUAACCCAAUCACCGGGUAGUAACUUGUGCGUGCCUGUGUUGGAUUCUGGAUCUGGAAUAGAAGAAAACACCUGUGCAUGGAUCUUGGUCAAGGCAUGAGAGAGUGCAGUUAUAUAAUCUACCAUUGCAUCUGACUGAAGUUGAAGUUGUGGAAAGUAACAACCUAACCUGGGUGCUGUCCCGAACAAAAUCUCGUAGGGGGAUAGGUUAAACUUCCCCCUUGGGAUAUACCUUACACUAAAGAGUGCUAUGGGAAGACUCUCUGGCCAGGGCAAAUUAGUUUCCUGUGACAUAUUUAGCAUUCUGGCCUUCAGAGUGCUAUUCAUGCAUUCUACCUUACCACUACUCUGUGGGUGAUAGGGUGUGUGGAAAGCAAGGGUCACCCCCAGUGCUGCCCAGAUUUCUCUGGUCAGUAAUGCGGUGAAAGAUGUACCUUGAUCACUUUCAAUUACUUCAGGGACUCCGUAUCUGCAGAUAAUUUCUGUGAGUAGGUGUUUAGCGGUAGUCUUUGCGGUAAGGUUGGCAACCGGGAAAGCUUCUGGCCACCCUGAAAACAUAUCCACUAUGACCAGUGCGUACUCGUAACGGCCGCUCUUCGGCAUUUGGAUAUGGUCAAUUUGGAUCCUUUGGAAGGGAUAUUGUGGUUUGGCCAAAUGAUUCGUUGCAGCUUUGAUUAUUUUCCCUGGGUUGCAUUUAGCACAGAUAGUACAUGACCGGCAGUAGUUUCGAGUUAGGGUAGUGAUCCCAGGUGCUUCGAAAUAUUUAUCAAUCAAGGAGUUCAUGAGUUGUUUUGACAAGUGUGCUGGUCCAUGAGCCCAUUGGACGUCAGCCGGGUACAUAUUCUUGGGUAGACAGAAUAUGAGGUUGAUUGUAUAUAUAUCAUUCUGGAUAAUUGCUCCUUUGUCCUUCCAGCUUUGUUUUUCCUGUGGGGUAGCAGCGGCCUGUUUCUCUCUCAGGAAUCUAGGUCAGUGGGUAGGGUUUGCAUAGUGUAAAUAGGGGUCUUCUCAUUGGACACUCUUCUGUCCACUUCCCAAUUCUGACGUGGUGCAUCUUUAGCUGCUUGGUCGGCCAGAUGGUUACCAUGG